rnacentral:rRNA from 1 species
AGAACGAACGCUGGCGGCAUGCCUAACACAUGCAAGUCGAACGUGAUCCAGGCUUCGGCCUGGUGAAAGUGGCAGACGGGUGAGUAACGCGUGGGAACCUGCCCUGUGGUAGGGAAUAACCGUGGGAAACUGCGGCUAAUACCCUAUGAGUCCUUCGGGAGAAAGAUUUAUCGCCAUAGGAGGGGCCCGCGUCGGAUUAGGUAGUUGGUGGGGUAACGGCCUACCAAGCCUUCGAUCCGUAGCUGGUCUGAGAGGAUGAUCAGCCACACUGGGACUGAGAUACGGCCCAGACUCCUACGGGAGGCAGCAGUGGGGAAUAUUGGACAAUGGGGGGCAACCCUGAUCCAGCAAUGCCGCGUGGAUGAUGAAGGCCUUCGGGUUGUAAAGUCCUUUCGGCGGGGAAGAUGAUGACGGUACCCGCAGAAGAAGCCCCGGCUAACUUCGUGCCAGCAGCCGC